CCAGAUGGCCGGAUGGCCGCUGUUUGCGCCGCAAGGCGUGAAUGGAGGAAAGUCCGGGCUCCAGCGAAACAGGAUGCCGGGUAACGCCCGGCGGGGGCAACCCCAGAGACAGUGCCACAGAAAACAGACCGCCCUGCAAAGCCUCCGGGCGAAGCAGGGCAAGGGUGAAAAGGUGCGGCAAGAGCGCACCGCGCCUCUGGCAACAGGGGUGGCAUGGCAAACCUCAUCCGGAGCAAGACCGAAUAGGGGCGGCUGCCCUGCGGCAACGCAAGGGACAGCGGGUUUCCACGCCGCCGCCCGGGUUGGUCGCGUGAGGCAUCCGGCAACGGGUGUCCCAGAGGAAUGGUCAUCCAUCGCAGCAAUGCGGGGACAGAACCCGGCUUACAGGCCGUCUGGCUUU
rnacentral:RNase_P_RNA from 1 species